GCCGGUGUGGCUCAGCGGUUGGAGCGUUUGGCUCAUGCACUGAGGGGUUGCAGGUUCGAUUCCUGGUCAAGGGCA
rfam:Myotis brandtii contig277656, whole genome shotgun sequence.